GGUGAGUAACACGUGGGCAAUCUGCCCUUCACUCUGGGACAAGCCCUGGAAACGGGGUCUAAUACCGGAUACCACUCCUGCCUGCAUGGGCGGGGGUUGAAAGCUCCGGCGGUGAAGGAUGAGCCCGCGGCCUAUCAGCUUGUUGGUGGGGUAAUGGCCCACCAAGGCGACGACGGGUAGCCGGCCUGAGAGGGCGACCGGCCACACUGGGACUGAGACACGGCCCAGACUCCUACGGGAGGCAGCAGUGGGGAAUAUUGCACAAUGGGCGAAAGCCUGAUGCAGCGACGCCGCGUGAGGGAUGACGGCCUUCGGGUUGUAAACCUCUUUCAGCAGGGAAGAAGCGAAAGUGACGGUACCUGCAGAAGAAGCGCCGGCUAACUACGUGCCAGCAGCCGCGGUAAUACGUAGGGCGCAAGCGUUGUCCGGAAUUAUUGGGCGUAAAGA
rnacentral:rRNA from 1 species